rnacentral:rRNA from 1 species
GGCUAACUACGUGCCAGCAGCCGCGGUAAUACGUAGGGAGCGAGCGUUGUCCGGAAUUACUGGGUGUAAAGGGAGCGUAGGCGGGAUUGCAAGUCAGAUGUGAAAUACAUGGGCUCAACCCAUGGGCUGCAUUUGAAACCGUAGUUCUUGAGUGAAGUAGAGGUAAGCGGAAUUCCUGGUGUAGCGGUGAAAUGCGUAGAUAUCAGGAGGAACACCGGUGGCGAAGGCGGCUUGCUGGGCUUUUACUGACGCUGAGGCUCGAAAGCGUGGGUAGCAAACAGGAUUAGAUACCCUGGUAGUCCACGCCGUAAACGAUGAUUACUAGGUGUGGGGGGACUGACCCCUUCCGUGCCGCAGUUAACACAAUAAGUAAUCCACCUGGGGAGUACGGCCGCAAGGUUGAAACUCAAAGGAAUUGACGGGGGCCCGCACAAGCAGUGGAGUAUGUGGUUUAAUUCGAAGCAACGCGAAGAACCUUACCAGGUCUUGACAUCGUAUGCAUAGCAUAGAGAUAUGUGAAACCUCUUCGGAGGCAUAUAGACAGGUGGUGCAUGGUUGUCGUCAGCUCGUGUCGUGAGAUGUUGGGUUAAGUCCCGCAACGAGCGCAACCCUUACCUUUAGUUGCUACGCAAGAGCACUCUAAAGGGACUGCCGUCGACAAAACGGAGGAAGGUGGGGAUGACGUCAAAUCAUCAUGCCCCUUAUGACCUGGGCUACACACGUACUACAAUGGCAAUUAACAAAGAGAAGCAAGACGGUGACGUGGAGC